rnacentral:lncRNA from 1 species
CCAGAACAAGUACUUACGAAGGAUUGCAGGGUUCUAAGCGUGAGAUGGUGGUGGUGGAUGGACCAGAAUCACAAGGAAAUACCUCCAAAAGGUCUGCAGUUUCUUCCUGCUCCACUAAAUGGUCUUGAAGCUGGAUUCAGACACCUGGUGGAGUUUCCAUUUUGUUGGUAGGGGUAGCCACAUUAGCCACCAGCUUUGGGUUGCAAAGUUGAGUUCUCCAGGCAGGCUUGGCUUCCAUCAGUGCAGAGAACAGCAGUGAUUGUAGAAAAAAAUUCUCAGUCUUCUGUUCAAUAAAGCAGCAAUGACAACUGUCUCUUCAUGUCAGUGUCA